UGGGGAAUAUUGCACAAUGGGCGCAAGCCUGAUGCAGCCAUGCCGCGUGUGUGAAGAAGGCCUUCGGGUUGUAAAGUACUUUCAGCGGGGAGGAAGGGAGUAAAGUUAAUACCUUUGCUCAUUGACGUUACCCGCAGAAGAAGCACCGGCUAACUCCGUGCCAGCAGCCGCGGUAAUACGGAGGGUGCAAGCGUUAAUCGGAAUUACUGGGCGUAAAGCGCACGCAGGCGGUUUGUUAAGUCAGAUGUGAAAUCCCCGGGCUCAACCUGGGAACUGCAUCUGAUACUGGCAAGCUUGAGUCCCGUAGAGGGGGGUAGAAUUCCAGGUGUAGCGGUGAAAUGCGUAGAGAUCUGGAGGAAUACCGGUGGCGAAGGCGGCCCCCUGGACGAAGACUGACGCUCAGGUGCGAAAGCGUGGGGAGCAAACAGG
rnacentral:rRNA from 1 species